CGGAGAAGAUGGGUAAGAAGAAGCCGGCGAGGAAGCUGGUGGGGGAUUUUGAAAUGGUGGCUGAUUCGAGUGAUGCAGGGAUGAAGACAAGGAGAAGGAGAUUAGAAGAAGGUGGUAGUGGUAAUGUUGGUGUUGGUGAUGUGGUGAUGAAGGUGGUUGAGGAGUUGAACAGAGAAAAUUCUGCAGGGGAGAAAUUGAAGGGUGAAAAAAAAGUGAGAAGUAAUGGGAAAAGUGGAUCUAGUCCUUUGAAUGGUGUUAGGAAUUCACCAAGGAGAAGGGGAUUAGAUGAAGGUGGUAAUGGUAAUAGUAGUGUUGGUGCUGGUG
rnacentral:lncRNA from 1 species